UCCGUUUGUUACUGUGUCCGUUUAUUAUUGUGUCCGUUUAGUCUGUGUCCGUUUGUUACUGCGUCCGUUUCACUCAGCUUGCUGUGUCCGUUUAUUACUGUGCGCAUCUGGGACGCUCCCUAAUGGCUUAUAACAAUGUAUCUUAUCAUGAGGCGAAAAGAAUAAUAAACGGCUCGGAAGAGAUCAAAAAUACGACAGAUACAUAAAACCGAAAGAAUGGCCAGCGUUACUAAAAAAAAAAAGUAGAACGGAGACCAACCCGAAUAGAAUAGAUAUAGAUUAUAUUCAAAAGCAAUACGCGGAAAAUAUUUAUCCAGUAAAAACAAGAGAAAGAGAGAAAGAAAAUGAGAGAGUAAAUCUCAAAUACAAAAUUAACUAUACGCCAUUAAACAGAAGAAACCAAGAAGUAGAUAAAGAGAAUAAUCAGGAGGAAAAGAGAAACCAAAGACCAAAGGAAUAUUAUACUACAAGAAAUGAUAGGAGUGCGGAAAUAAGAAGACAAAAUUACGGAUUGGCAAGAGUAAAUAAAUUAGAACAAGAAGAAGAAGAAGAGAAAUGGAUAUGCCAAAUGUUGAAAGUGUUUGGACCGAUAAAAAAUGAAGAGAAAUAGUUACAUUAAGAGUUUAAAAAAAAAUGAAAGAAAUAGAGAAUUUAGAAAAAAAUGAGGGAAAAGAUCGAUUACAAAAGAACGGGAAGAAUUGAAAGUAAGAGAACGACGAGAAGUAGAGGAAAGUAAAAAGAAAUGGAAGAGAGAAAUGUUAAUGAGAAACAGAAAUAAAGCAUAUGGCAAGAUGAAAGAAGUAAAAGAACGAUACUGGAUUGACAGAGACAAAGUUAGAGAAGAGGAACAAUAAAUAAGAAAUAAAUAACAAACAAACUAGGUCUAAAUCCUUAAAAAAAAAGAAGACAAACUAAAAGAAACAGACCCAUCUCAACUUAUAAUCAAUACCUUUGUAAUAAAAUUUGAUAUUGCAACUAUCACCAUAAUGAAUAGAUGCGUAUGGAACGCAAGAGGUUUAAGGAAUAAACAAGCAGAACUCACAAACAACAUAAAAGAAUUCGAUAUAUUGAUAGCUACAGAGACUAAAGUUAACUAUAAAAAAGAAGUAAUAAUAUCAGGUUAUAAAACAUAUAAAACACAAAAUCAAAACAGUAACGGAGGAAUAGCAAUUUUUAUAAAAAAUGAGAUAGAAUUUAAAGUAAUUGUAGAAUUGUAGAAUUAAAAGAAUGGUAUACAAACUCGGAGAACCUAGAAUUCAUUGGAAUUAGAGUACAAAAUACAAUAAGACAAUUUAACUUAAUAGGAGUAUAUAGGAAACCAAUGGGAGUAGAACCAACCAAUGUAUGGAAUGAAUUAAUGGGAUUCGAAGAUGAAGAACUGGAUACUAUAAUCACGGGAGACUUCAAUUCACAUCACAAUCUAUAGAACUGUAACAAUAUAGACAGAACGGAGAAAGAUUAUGGACAACAAUGUACAACAUGGUUACUUAUGUUUAAACACAGAUACAUUAUCAUUUGAAAGUGAAAAUGGGACAGAUGCAAGAUCUAACAUUGAUUUAAUAUUCGUAAAGGGAAAAAUACUAGACUUAAUGAGUUACGAACAAUAUCAAGAUACAUAGGAAUCGGAUCACUACCCGAUUAAAAUAUGUAUAAAUACAGAAGUUUAUCCAUACAAGAAAAAAACAGAUUAACUAAAAAAAAAAAACAGACUGGAAAGUUUACACUUCACAGAUGGAAAAAGAGUGGGAAAAAAGAGAACGAAUAGAAAUCCAUAUGGAAACGGAAGAAGAGAUAAUAGAAUGGUAUAAUAAACUUCAAGAAUCAAUGAAGGAGAAUAUACAUAAGGUAACGGAAGGAAGAAAGAGGAAAACAAAGAAACAACAAGAAAAGAGAGAAGAAGAAGAAAACGUUAACAAAACACAAAAUAGAAAGAGACUGACCCAACAGGUAAGCUGGUGGGAUGAAGAAUGCGAAAAAGUAUGCGCAGAAAGAAAAAGAAAAAUAGAUGGAGUCAUACGAGAAACAUGGAGGAUAAAAUUGAGUAUAAAAGAUGCAAAGUAAUAGCUACAAAAGUGAUUAAUAGGAAAAAAAAGGAAGAAUUCACAAGAUUUUCAUCUAGCAUAAAUAGAUUUACAGGAUUGACAUAUGUGUGGAACAAACUAAAAAUCCUGAGAAAUGCCAAAAAAAGAAGAGAGUGGAAUAAAUGGCAAACAAAAGAUAGAAUAGAAGAGAUCUAUAAAACAAUAGAGGAACUAUCACUAGAUUAGGUUACUAAAAAAUAUGAAAUCAAGGUACAACAAGGACAAAGAAAAGAACAAAGAACAAGAAUAAGUAUAGAACAACUGGAAAAAGAUUUCAUCACGAAUUACAAAGAGCUGUUAAAAAUAUAAGAAAAGACUCAGCCCCAGGAAAGGAUGGAAUAUAUUAUAAAAUGAUAGAAAGGUUGAAAAUGCAAAAAAGAUUUUACUAAAGAUCCAUACAAUGAAAUAUGGCAUACAGGAAUAAUCCCGGAGGAGUGGAGAGAAUAUCAAAUACUGUUCAUUGAUAAAGUAGGAAAGGAAGCAGUAAGACCCAUUGUACUAUCAUCAUGUAUGGGAAAAAUGAUGGAAAGAUUGAUAAAUGAAAGAUUGACGUGGUGGGUGGAAAAAGAAAGGAAGUUACAUGAAACUCAAAACGGACUUAGAAGAGGUAGAUCGUGUACAGAAAAUCUGACAGCAAAUCGGCAUUACAAGCGAUGAAAAACAAUAAGAUGAACAUGUAUCAAAAUAAAUAUUUAUUAGAGUGGAGGGAAAAUCAUUGGAAGACAACCAGACAUUUUAAAAAAAGAAUCAUAUAUAUUUGGAUCCCUGGGCAUAGAGGAAUAACAGGAAAUAGACUGGCUGAUCGAUUAGCAAAGGAGGCUACAAGAUACGACUACGAAGAAACAAUUCAAAUACCAAUCGGGGAUUUGAGAAACAUACAUAAAGAGGAAUUUUGGAUAGAGGAAAUAAAGAGGAAAGAAACUAAUGAUAGAAUUAAAGAUGAAUCGAACUUCAAAGGAAAACAUUAUUUCGAAAACUUCUACAACAAAAAAAAGAAAAAA
rnacentral:misc_RNA from 1 species